rnacentral:rRNA from 1 species
UUAUGUACAUGCCUACAACAUGAAUGCACUAAAUCCCAUCAGAACUCCAUGGUUAAGCGUGCUUGGGCAAGAGUAGUAUUGGGACGGGUGACCUCUUAGGAAGUCCUAGUGUUUUACAUGCC